UUCGAUGCUCCUCGAUCUGUACGGUAUGGCGCCACCGCCGGCCGGUCUUCUUCUCCGGCCGUCAGCGUCCUCUUUUCCUUCCCCUCAAUAUCCGCUCCUAAUCUUCUCCGGCGUCUCCCGCAGUCUCCUCAAUCUCCAACCUCUUGCUCCAGUGUUGUUCUUCUCUGAUUUGGAUCGAGUUUGAGUCCGUCUCCAACACAAAAUCAUGGAGUGCCCGACCCGGAUUGGACUUGGCGGCCAUAAGAAGGAAGGAUCCUCCACCGCCUGCCUGCCUUGCCUCUCGGCGUUCUCGCGUCGCGGCUCGACCUGGCCCUUGCCCUGUCUCUCGCCAUCGGCUGCCAGGUCAGGGCCCUCGCCCUUGUCCUCCUUCUCGGCGCCUGGGCCGCGAGCCACGCUCAGCCCCCUCCUUGGCUUCGAUCUGAUGGCCCUUCCCCAACCUCCUCGACCUCGACAGAUCCGGGAGGCCGCCGCUCGGUGAGGAAGGUGUGUUGUGAUGUCUGAAGUCCUCUUACUUCCACAAAGUUUCAGGUUUAACCUCUGUAUAAUCUCAACUCAAGCAAGUUUCGCGCAGCAAUCGAGGAGGCUUUCCUAGCCCAGCUUGUUUUUCUGAACUCCAAAUAGGUGGGUUCUGCUCUCUCGAGUAGUUUGUGGAUGAGCUUCCAUGUAUAGGCUUUGCUGACUACAGUUUUUUUAAGGAUUAGAAAAUACAGAGUAUUUCUGUCCUGAUUGUACAGAAGAGAAUAAUGAUAGUUGAACCUUGAACGGGCAUAUGUGCUAGAGCGGCGGAAGCUUGUGAAGCCAUGGUCUGUGAUCUGCAGAUAUAUAGUAGGAACAAGUGCGAUUUGGAUUUCCUUUUUGUUUGUCUUAUGUGUCGCUUUGAGAUGAUGAGGCCGAGAUAUGGCCUCGCUGCUGUGCGUCAAAACCAUGGCUCGAAUGUGUGUUCCAGCCUCUAUCAGACCUGGCCUCUACGCAUAUCCUUCCAAGCUACGGUGGUGCACAUGCUAGGCUACUCAUUUGGUGCAGCCACCCCCCUUCCAACAAAGCAAGUUUUUUCAUUCAGAUUUUAGACCUCUUGAGUUCCACUUUAGUUCAAUAAAGGAAAGCUUUCUCUUCAUGGUUUGCUCCUUAUGAUUCAAGAAGGAAGACCACUAGACACUUUUCUAUAAUUAGGUGAUGUAGUGAACCUUCAUCUUGCAGUCAAAUUGCUUACCUAUACUGCCUCUUCAUUUGCACCGUCAAAAAUUGCACAUGGGCUGUUUCAGACUUUGAGGGUUCAGAAAACAGCUUGAAGAGCCAAUCGGUAUGAAGGUGUUGCUCCUUUGUACUAGAUCGUAAAUAGAAGGGGACAUGGUUCAGAUUUGUGACUAUUGUGUGCUCUUGGACAACCGAGGUACAUGUUAGUUUUCUUUAACUACAGAAGCUAAAUUCUUGGGAAUUAGGAUAUCAGGUGUACACAUUACUUUUAUUUUGAAUCAUGUUCUCAAUGCACUAUCUAUCUAUCCAAGUAUUCAAGGGAAUUAAUGGUGGCGGAAUACAUGCGUUUGCUCGUGCCCUUGUGCCCCUUGCUGCUCGACCUUUUUUGGGGUUCUAGCAUGACUCUAUGGUCAGUCUUACUGAGAUUGUUGGUCCUGUUCUAACUUAUGAUAAUGUUGAUCGGUAGGGAGUGGGGGUCAGAAGAGGGACGUUGGUGGUGUUCGAGAUGUAUCGGUGGUCACCUGUUGGCAGGGCCCUCAUGGAGACACUGGACAAGAUGAUGCUCAGUGGUGUGCUCAGCCCCGAGCUCGCCUUAAGCGUCCUCCUGCAGUCCGUCCAUGAGCGGUUGGAGCACCAGGUUAAGAGCAAGGCAUUCUUCAAGUAAUUCAUCUCAUCCAGUAGCUUGAUAGUUUUUUCGGUAAGUCAUCUCAUCCAGUAGCUUGAUAGUAGGGCUGGUUUCUAUUGGUGCAUUACUUCGUAAUGAAAAUAAAUCACAUCGCCUUUACCCAAUGAUUUUUGUCCAGAACCAAUCAUAUUAUUUCUUUUCUACGAGUACUAUAUAUGUUGAUUAUUCAGAGGUCGCAUCUUCAUGAGACUUGCAAAGGUAAGACGUACGAAGAAUGAGAGAUGGUGCAAGUUUCUUAAGUUUAUCAUCCCAUUCAAGCAUCACAAAAUGUGAGUAGUACUAUUCAAAGGGGUGAAGAAAUAACAUGCUAAUCAUUUUUAGAGGGCAAACUAGCUACCAUUUUUUUAAAUGGAGUGUGGCAUUGACCUCUGAGUCUGGAGCAAUUGUACUCAAAGUGUUUGAUAUUAACAAGUGACAACUAGCCAGACUGGUUACAUGUGAUGCGCUCCCUAGAGUCGCAACAGAGGCGAUAAACUCUUAGGUAUUUUUGGUAAAAUAAAUUUGUUCUUCUGUACAUUUUGUUGUACGAGCUAAAACAUCGCAGUUUAGACAAACAACACACUGCAGCCUCUGUUUAAUUGGAUUAAAGAUGCACAUCUGCCUUUUCUUGCGUUGUGCUCAGAGCAUAGAAUUUCAUUCUGUUAAUUCAUUGAUCGUGGCAGGAUUUAAACUUCUACAGGAAAUUAGUAGUGAUUGUUUGUACUGCAUUUCAAAGUUAGAACUAAAGGAGACACGGGCAUGACAAUUACACCAUUUGAAGGUCUAUCUUUUGCACAAUCUGAAUUUAUUAUUGUGUUGGCGAGCUAUGAAAGAACGGUGGUGCUGCAGCACUGAGGUACGUAUAUUACUUGCAAUGACAUGCAUUUGAUGGCCACCUUUACAGAAGCUCCUCUCUGGAAACAAGGAGCAAAUGACUAUUAUUUGAAAUCUGUUGUGCAUUAUUAUUUUUGGUUAUGUUCCAAAAUCCUAGAUGCAUAGCAAAGCACAUUAGUGGAUAUAUGAAUCAUUUUUGUCUACUGAUUCUUGUUCAAUUACUUUUAUGAAAGGCAAGGGUAUGCACUUUUCACUAUCAAUCUUGGAGUAAGACGUCUGCAGGUGAGGAGUAGUUGAUGAAAGCUAUUGGUUACCACACCUCUUAUUAGUGCCAAGUUGUAGCAUCUGAAUUGUUGUGGUGUUCUUUCAUAGUCUUUCUUAGCUUCAUUUAUUUUCCAUUGAUUGGCUGACCUAUAUAGUGUUGUAAUUUCCCAUAAUUGCAAACUAUCGGGUUAACAUAUUGGCAUCUGCCAGUGUUGCCCUUCAUAUUGGAAAGACUGAAAAUGCUGAAGAACUGCCUGGCAAGCAUAUUGGCAGUAGACUUCCGGUGAGACUUCAGUUUCCAUCAUCAAAGUGCUCCUAAGAUUAGUUAAGUAGAAAAUGUUUUAUUAAAGGACUCAUAAAAGCUUAUUUGGAAUUGUAUGAGGUUACUUUAUGGAACAACAACGUGUGAUAUGCUAAGUAAUAAACGGUUACAUAAGUUCAUUCAGGAGUUCACCAUCAAUUUGCUAUGGUUGUCAUAAGUCAUGGACUACAAAUGAUAUAAAUCUAUAGAUUGACCUCUUAUUAUAUCCUGAGUGCCAUAAAUUUCAAGAGAACAACAAGGCAUCUUACCUGCUUUAUUCUUCCUUGCAUAACUAUAUAUGCAACUGGACUUUAUCAUUUGUCACACUGAUUUAUACACUGUAAUUAUGUAGCCACCCAUUGCGUCAAAAUGAGCCUGCCUUGGUCCAGGGAGAUAGAGAAGGUGGCUCGUUCGCAAGUUCAAGCUGGCCAUGAGCGACGCUCUUAGUCGCUCCCAGCAAUGCACUGCAUGUUGGCUGGGAUCUUACCCAGAUAGUAUCUCCAGUACUGUAAUGGCAGACUACUCCUGAUUAGUUGAGUGAUACAAUUUAUUUCCAAUUUUUUUUAUGUUUUAGCCCAUGGUUACUUGGUUAAAGAGUGUUAUGUUUUU